rnacentral:rRNA from 1 species
AGCAGCCGCGGUAAUUCCAGCUCCAAUAGCGUAUAUUAAAGUUGUUGCCGUUAAAAAGCUCGUAGUUGAACUUCCAUGGACCCAUGCGGUCUGCCUUACGGCAAGUACUGUGUGGGUUUGUGCUCCUUGGUGGUGAACCAAGAUGUCGUUUAUUCGGUGUCUUGGUAAACCACCUCUGUUACCUUGAGAAAAUUAGAGUGUUCAAAGCAGGCCAAUGCCUGAAUACAUUAGCAUGGAAUAACGAAAUAGGACGUGCGGUUCUAUUUUGUUGGUUUCUAGAGUCGCCGUAAUGAUUAAUAGGGACAGUCGGGGGCAUCAGUAUUCAAUUGUCAGAGGUGAAAUUCUUGGAUUUAUUGAAGACUAACUACUGCGAAAGCAUUUGCCAAGGAUGUUUUCAUUAAUCAAGAACGAAAGUUAGGGGAUCGAAGACGAUCAGAUACCGUCGUAGUCUUAACCAUAAACUAUGCCGACUAGGGAUCGGAUGAUGUUAAUUUUAUAAUGACUCA